CGCGGUAAACGUGGAUCCUGCUCCAAAGCAGCCUGCCAAGGAGGGCAGGAACAUCCAGCACCUUCCCUGCUCGUCGGCGAGGCUGAUGAGCUCGCGGGGCUACCCAGAAUCUCUGUUAGGGCAUCGUUGUGCCAUGGUAUGCUGCAGAUGACGUUGGUCAACCUUCACUGUUCAGGGGAGGAUCACGAAAUGGAUGGUGCUAUUGGCAGAUGUUUUACUCGUGGCUCUCAGGUUGGUCCAGACAUCUGUAUUGCAGCAACAUCUGUUCUGUACUUUCACAACUCACGGGGAGGGACAGAGUCGUGUUGAACAACGGAGCCCAGCAAGACUCAUUUGGCAUGCCAGGAACAUGUGCAGGAUCCUUGCUUUGAGACCUCUUCGUCUUCAGAGUUAAUGGGACCACCCUGGUGCUCUCUGCUGACCCUUCCAGGAUGACACAGGAUGUAGAUGAUCUUUUUAAGGCCCUUCAACCAUAAGGGUAAUACAGUCCUAGGUAGUAAGGGUGGAGGCUACAUGAGAACACUGAGAGAACAAAAAUUCAUCCCAUGAGUCCUGAGGAGGGACUGGAGGGAUCAGCCAGCCCUUUGGCCCUGCUGGUCUACUUGUCCUUCUUUAACACCAGGCUG
ensembl:lncRNA